CACAUCAUGAUUCUCGUGAAGAGGGAGUUUACUCUCUCCCAUGCAUUCUUUGAGCUUAGCAUGAUGGCU